CCCAUUUCAUUUUUGUCGCCGACGCCGUCUCGCUCUGCCCUCUCGUCUCCUCUCUGCCCAUCUCGUCUCCGCCGCCGCUCGUCUCCGCUUCCGGUCGUCUCCGCCGCCACUACACUCUGCUAGCCUUGGUGUUGGGAAGGAAAAGAAGAAGGGAUGGUUCUGGGUUUGAGGCGAGAGAGAGAUCGGUUCACUGCGAGAGCGUCCAUGGGUAGUGUUAGAGCCGGCGUGAUGUUUGGAGGAGAUGGGUGGGUUAGAGAAGGGACUGAGUUGGCAAUGGUGGGUACAGUGUAAUCUAGGAAGUGGGUUUGGGAUAAGGAACCACAUCCAUAAUCCAUUAUCAUGGUUUUGUCCAUAUGUUGGUGUUUCUGCAAUUGGUUUGUUUUUUUGCCUUAGCCACGUAAUUUUUGUGGUAUUGAUUUCUGGCCACAAACAUGGCAUUAGCCGGGAGACUUCAGGUAAAGAAAGAAAGAAAGAGUCUAAUAUGAAGCCAUCCUCAUAAGUAUCCUCAUCAGUUUGUAAGACUUCUGUUGUAUAUUGACCGACACCAUCCACUUCCUCAAAGUGUUGUGCUGCUGUUAACAUAUUGACCGACUCCAUCCACAUCAGUUUGAAAGACUUCUGUUGCAUAUUGACCUCCCAGUUAGUUGGCUGCCUAGUAUGUUUUGGAAUUUAGAAUAUGUUUGGAUUA